rnacentral:rRNA from 1 species
CGUGUCGUGAGAUGUGGUUAAGUCCGCAACGAGCGCAACCCUUGUCAUUAGUUGCUACAUUCAGUUGGGCACUCUAAUGAGACUGCCGGUGACAAGCCGGAGGAAGGUGGGGAUGACGUCAAGUCCUCAUGGCCCUUAUAGGUGGGGCUACACACGUCAUACAAUGGCUGGUACAAAGGGUUGCCAACCCGCGAGGGGGAGCCAAUCCCAUAAAGCCAGUCGUAGUCCGGAUCGUAGUCUGCAACUCGACUACGUGAAGUCGGAAUCGCUAGUAAUCGUGGAUCAGAAUGUCACGGUGAAUACGUUCCCGGGUCUU